UGAGGAAUAUUGGUCAAUGGGCGGGAGCCUGAACCAGCCAAGUCGCGUGAGGGAAGACGGUCUUACGGAUUGUAAACCUCUUUUGCCGGGGAGCAAAGGGCGCCACGCGUGGCGUUUCGAGAGUACCCGGAGAAAAGCAUCGGCUAACUCCGUGCCAGCAGCCGCGGUAAUACGGAGGACGCGAGCGUUAUCCGGAUUUAUUGGGUUUAAAGGGUGCGUAGGCGGGCCGGUAAGUCAGCGGUAAAAUUAGCGGGGCUCAACCCCGUCGAGCCGUUGAAACUGCCGGUCUUGAGUGGGCGAGAAGUGCGCGGAAUGCGUGGUGUAGCGGUGAAAUGCAUGAUAUCACGCAGAACCCCGAUUGCGAAGGAAGCGCACCCGGCGCCCUACUGACGCUGAAGCACGAAAGCGUGGGGAUCGAACAGGAUUAGAUACC
rnacentral:rRNA from 1 species